AACGAACGCUGGCGGCAGGCCUAACACAUGCAAGUCGAACGCUCGUAGCAAUACGGGAGUGGCAGACGGGUGAGUAACACGUGGGAACCUUCCCUAUGGUUCGGAAUAGCUCAGGGAAACUUGGGGUAAUACCGGAUAAGCCCUUCGGGGAAGGAUUUAUCGCCAUUGGAUGGGCCCGCCGUCGGAUUAGCUAGUUGGUGAGGUAACGGCUCACCAAGGCAACGAUCCGUAGCUGGUCUGAGAGGAUGAUCAGCCACACUGGGACGUGAGACACGGCCC
rnacentral:rRNA from 1 species